AAAGAUACCGGAUCCUUGCUUCAAUGUUGUCAGUGAAAAUGUGCUGGAGACUGUUCAGAAAGGACCCCAUUCAUUUAAGAAGGUUGAGUAUACCCUGCAGUUGAACCUUGAAGGGCGGAUCUACUCCGCCUCGGCCCACACCAAGAAGGCGGCUAAGACACUCUGUGCAAGCGAGGCCUGGGACUUUGUUCGUCAAACUUUGGGACAAUAAACUUACUUUAUUUCCCUGCUGCAACUAGGGGUGUAAAAUCUGAUACUUUAUUUCCCUGCUGCAACCUGAGCAAGCAGGGGCUAUAAAAAGAUUUUUUCACCCAAACUUCAUUUUGUAAGUCGCUCACAGUGUUCCAUCUUUUCCGCCCAUUUUUCUUUUCUCCAUUUUUUGUUUUUACUCUGAAAAGCAGUUGCAGUUAAAAUGAGCAGCGUUUUCAGAGGAAUAAAAGGAAUAGUUUUUAAACCUUAACGCAAAUUUAUAAUUUAUAAAAUAAAAAAGUCUUGUACAUAUUGAUUGUUCCAGUGUAUUGUACAAUUUUUGGUUUCAUCCAAAUGUUUAGUUUUUAACAGUGAGUGUGUAGUUUUUUCUUGGCACUUAUGUUAUAUUGUACAUGUGGUGUGUAUAUCUUCACGUAUAUGUACUUUCAGCUAAAUAUCACUUUAUCAGGUUUUAUUCUAAUAAAGGUAGUAAGAGGAGGGGUUUUUGAUUUGCAUUGGAAAUCCUUGUUUAUUUUAAUGCUUCUAAAAAUUUGGCCUUUUCCAUUUAUACAGUCUUUAGGUCGGCUUUUUUAUCAAGGCAAAACGUGUUCUAUGAUAGAAGAUAUUAUCAAAAUGAUUUUUAUUUAAUUGGCAUGUCAUCUUUUGACAAAAAAGAGUAAAAGCAGACUGAAAAAACGUACAAUUUUCUUCUUUUGGUGGAACCUAUUUUCAAGCCAAAAAUAAAACUCUGAAUUUUUCUACUUAUUUCAGAUUUUUCUGAACUCAAAUAAAAAGUUGCAAAUAAAUUCUGAGUGCUUUAAUAGAAUCCCCUCUUUAAACCAACCUGUUUCUAAAAUCAGAAAGCAUUUUCUUCUAUAUUAUAAAGGGAACCUCUGAAAGGGUUGGUAACGUGUUUGGAGUAGUAAACGUUUAAAUGAUAGUAAUUCUGCAUCCUUUGAAAAUUGGUCAAAAGUGUCAAUAUCUGGGGCAAAUUUCAAGCUUUAAGAACGCUUACUUUUUACAUGAAUUAAUAGUCCUGUCCUUAAUCACCUAUCUUUGCGUGUAAUAGGGUUUACUGUACUCUACACUUAACCUUGAAAACUUGUACAACUUAAACAAAAUUUUAAUGUCGUCUUUACAACUUUGUGUUUAGAAAAUUUAAUGUCAUUUUAUAUCUGUUAAAUUUCACCUUAAUCAAUUAAUUUGUAAAUUAAUUU